AACGAACGCUGGCGGCAUGCCUAACACAUGCAAGUCGAACGAGACCUUCGGGUCUAGUUGCGCACGGGUGCGUAACGCGUGGGAACCUGCCCUUAGGCUCGGAAUAACUCCCCGAAAGGUGUGCUAAUACCGGAUAAUGUCUUCGGACCAACGAUUUAUCGCCUUUGGAUGGGCCCGCGUUGGAUUAGCUAGUUGGUAGGGUAAAAGCAUACCAAGGCGACGAUCCAUAGCUGGUCGGAGAGGAGGACCAGCCACACUGGGACUGAGACACGGCCCACAAUCCUACGCAGGGGAGGAGUGGGGAGUACUGGACAAGGGGGGAAAGCCUGAUGAAGCAGUGCCGCGUGAGUGAGGAAGGCCUUAGGGUUGUAAAGCUCUUUUACCCGGGAUGAUAAUGACAGUACCGGGAGAAUAAGCUCCGGCUAACUACGUG
rnacentral:rRNA from 1 species